UACGUAGGGCGCAAGCGUUAAUCGGAAUUAUUGGGCGUAAAGAGCUUGUAGGCGGUUUGUCGCGUCUGCUGUGAAAAUCCGGGGCUCAACCCCGGACUUGCAGUGGGUACGGGCAGACUGGAGUGUGGUAGGGGAGACUGGAAUUCCUGGUGUAGCGGUGGAAUGCGCAGAUAUCAGGAGGAACACCGAUGGCGAAGGCAGGUCUCUGGGCCACUACUGACGCUGAGAAGCGAAAGCAUGGGGAGCGAACAGG
rnacentral:rRNA from 1 species